ensembl:misc_RNA 7SK 7SK RNA
UGAUGGGGCUGUGAUGACUUCUGUUCUCUCUACCCCUCGCCAUUGAUCACCAGCAUUGAUUGGGAUGAUCAGGCUGACUAGGCAGAUCGCUCUGGCAUCCCCCACCACUCAAUGUGUGUCUCUCCUGAAAGCUCCCGACUUGGUUAAAGGGGACAGCCUUCCAUGGUAGAAGGACAGUGGGGACACACUAGUAGCUGUCCUUCUCUGGUGAACCUUCGAACACUCUCCCAGAAAUAACGGGCUUUUCUUUCCAGUGCCAAAGGCAUGUGAUGCUUUCCAUGUAUGUAGAUCAUGUUCAGAAGCUAUAUGACUCU